AACCUAAACCCUAAACCCUAAACCAUAGAUCUCAAACUCUAAAACCUAAAUCCUACUUUAGGCUUUCGGAAUCCGGUUGCGGUUCUAGUUCUUAUGCUCAAUGAUACACAAAGCAUCUAGUCAUAUUUGACUACAAAUACGCUACCCAAGCUUAUU
rnacentral:sRNA from 1 species